AUUGAACGCUGGCGGCAGGCCUAACACAUGCAAGUCGAGCGAGUGGCGGACGGGUGAGUAAUGUCUGGGAAACUGCCUGAUGGAGGGGGAUAACUACUGGAAACGGUAGCUAAUACCGCAUACCAUCGGAUGUGCCCAGAUGGGAUUAGCUAGUAGGUGGGGUAACGGCUCACCUAGGGGACGAUCCCUAGCUGGUCUGAGAGGAUGACCAGCCACACUGGAACUGAGAAACGGUCCAGACUCCUACGGGAGGCAGCAGUGGGGAAUAUUGCGCAAUGGGCGAAAGCCGGAUGGAGCAACGCCGCGUGAGUGAUGAAGGUCUUCGGAGUGUAAAGUUCUUUGAGUAGGGAAGCGGUACCUAAAGAAAAAGCAACGGCUAACUACGUGCCAGCAGCCGCGGUAAUAC
rnacentral:rRNA from 1 species